CCUCCUCCAAAGGAGUCCGUGUCUUGCUGCUCUUUCAGCUGAAAUCCAUUGUUGGAAUACUGGAUCCUUGCUGGCACUUGCUGGAUGGAGACAAACUAGAAGACUCUGGGAACUUUGCUUCCAGAUCAUCCACAUGGUAACUGCCACAUACACAGCUAUUAAUCCCUCCUGGGCACCGUGCUGGACCCACACUCAACACCACACUGAAUGGAAAGCAAGCGCCUAGGAA